GCUACAUACAUCGCUUAUAUUCCAUUGCUUAUAUUAUUUUACAAAGCAAGUUAAAAUGAUGUAUAAGGCUUCCACUUGUCCUUGGUGUCACACUCGAAGUUCAUUUGGAGUAAGACUGUCCAUCUCUGCUUUGCAUUCCAAUAGCUUAAUUCAUACACAAGUGCUCAUGAAAAACCUGGUCGCACAAACACAGAUGCCCUGAAGGUCACAGCCUAGGCAAGUGUCUCAUAAUUCAAGAAGCAGACAAUUCCAAAUUACACAAGUAUACAACCAUGCCAUUAUAGAUACUCAUAGGCAACAUGAUUAGAGGUGGGUCUUCAGGAGGCAUCUGAAUACAGACAGGCUAAUGGCCUUAACGACAUGCUCAUGUGUGUUGUGGUAGAAGGCCCAGGGAUGUUUGUCAGAGAACCAGACAAAUGAUGUGAGAAGACAUCAGUGACGGAGAGGAGGAGGCGUGUGGGUCAGAGACAAGAACAGAUGAGUGCAGAGGUGUGGAGUCAUUUGUGGCCUUGAAGGUACUAAGGAGGAGGUCACCAGUGUCCGUUCAGAGUGCCUCAUGUUUAUUGCUCCAGACAGCGUGGAGUCCAUGUCUGCUGUUAUUCGGACUCUUCAUAAAUUCAUGGAAAGCAACACGUCCUACAACUUUGCUGCAACUUUUUCCAGCCACAUGGCUGAAGGGCAACAGAAAGAGCACGUGUGUGAUAGAGGAGUGGGACCCACUCUGCACAUUGUUCCAUCCCCCUAAACCAAAAUCCCACUUCUGAGAACUGUGUAAGUCUUGUACAGGGGUUUUCAUUUGGGUUUAUCAUAUUCUGCAUCUGGUUCCCCAGACUAAGGUGUUGCCUUUUUCCGGGUGGGAAUCAGGAAAGAGAAAAUCCAGUUUCGCCAUCCUCCCUGUGGCCAUCCAACAGCAUUGAUGUCUAUCCUGUCACCACGGACUAUAACAGGAUGGGACCUCCCAUCAUUUGUAUGUGCAACUCUGUAUGUGCAAACUGAGAAGUUUGCAAAAGAGCCAAUUGUUUCUAAGCAGCAACUAUGUAUUCUUAUGAGUAGUUUAUUUCACGUAAUAAACUAAAGAUCAAAUCCAGCCCAGAAGUAAAAGUGCAUUUCUCCUCCCAUUGACCUUAGUGGGAAUGACAUCUGCUCACACCAAUGUUGAACUUGGUUUCCAGUCUUAGCUGACAAUGUAUGGUUCAGUACAGUGCACUAGGUUUCCCUAACACUGUUAGUAAAUUUCAGGCUUUGGCUCACUAAGGCCAGGAUUAUCAUGUAGAAUUCACCGGCAGAGACUGACUGCAUCAUAAGACACGACAGCCUCCAUGUAAAUUGCACAUU